GAAAAACGACUCCUGGGGAGAGUUAGAUGGGAUUUGGGGCAGGAAUCGUUCCCUGGAGGGUGGGGAUGGAGUUGCCACAGCAGCUGUGGCUGCCCCUGGGUCCCUGGCAGUGCCCAAGGCCAGGCUGGGCACUGGGACAGUGGAAGUGUCCCUGCCAGGGCGGGGGUGGCACUGGGUGGGAUUUAAGGUCCCUUCCCACCCAAACCAUUCAGGGAUUCUGAGAAGUCUUUGUGCACCAGGUACAUGCACAUCAAGGGAUGGGCAAUAAAUCCCACCACACCUGUAAAGAGCCAUGGGAUGUACAGGACACACGGGGUUUAUUCACUCACUCAUUAAACAUCUACCCCAGAGCAGCCCUGCAGUACAUCCUUCCUCCAGACUGACACACAAGAUUAGCUCAGAUUGCCUCUGUCUAUUGUUUUUAAGCAAAAAAAAAAAAACAACAAGAUUAGCUCAGAUUGCCUCUGUCUAUUGAUUUUAAGCAAAAAAAAAAAAACAACAAAGAAAAACAAAAAACCAACAACAAAACAAACCUUUUAUUUCAUAUCAUUGCAGUAAAAUAAUUGGAUUAAUUAGUUAAACCUUUCCAGCUGCAGAGAGGAGGAGACGUGUGACUUUUGAUUGCAUGCUCUCAGGACAGUCUGAGCUCUGAGCAGAGGCUCCUCAGAGAUUGUUCUUUUGAUCUGGGUGCAGAGCUCUGUGCUCACGUCACCCGGAGCAAGUCUCCGUAGCAAGGAGCUGUGCUGGCUCAGAUCCCCUCUGCAGGCUGCACAGCAAGGCAGAUGAUCUAAAUUGGAGGGAAUGGGAUCCUUGCUGAAGUUGGUAAAUCAGGCAGCCAUACCUUCUUCCCCAGCCCAGGCAGAUUUUGGCAUCCCCUUGCAGCAGGGGAGGGUGAGGGGUGUCCUGCCCCAGCAGUGGAUGCUUCUCCUUGUGCAGAAUCCAGGAGAAUUGACAUUGAACAUCGUGCCUGGCAUUAAAGGGACACUAACUGUGCUCCUGGAGGUCUCACCUGGGAACAGAAAGUUUAAAUUGGCUGUUCCAUUAUCCAGCCCUUGCACAAUGCACCUCAGAGAUGGGAGAAGAGACAGAGUCUGCCCUCAAAGCAGUGUGGAACACACCAGGUGCUCCCCCCUGACACCCUGCCAGGCAGAUGUUGUGCCAGAGAUCCCUUCCUUUCAGGGCAACACGUGGAUUUAA
rnacentral:lncRNA from 1 species